GACGAACGCUGGCGGCGUGCUUAACACAUGCCAGUCGAACGGAAAGGCCCUGCUUUUGUGGGGUGCUCGAGUGGCGAACGGGUGAGUAACACGUGAGUAACCUGCCCUUGACUUUGGGAUAACUUCAGGAAACUGGGGCUAAUACCGGAUAGGAGCUCCUGCUGCAUGGUGGGGGUAGGAAAGUUUCGGCGGUUGGGGAUGGACUCGCGGCUUAUCAGCUUGUUGGUGGGGUAGUGGCUUACCAAGGCUUUGACGGGAAGCCGGCCUGAGAGGGUGACCGGCCACAUUGGGACUGAGAUACGGCCCAGACUCCUACGGGAGGCAGCAGUGGGGAAUAUUGCACAAUGGGCGGAAGCCUGAUGCAGCAACGCCGCGUGCGGGAUGACGGCCUUCGGGUUGUAAACCGCUUUCGCCUGUGACGAAGCGUGAGUGACGGUAAUGGGUAAAGAAGCACCGGCUAACUACGUG
rnacentral:rRNA from 1 species